AUUGAACGCUGGCGGAAUGCUUUACACAUGCAAGUCGAACGGCAGCACGGACUUCGGUCUGGUGGCGAGUGGCGAACGGGUGAGUAAUGUAUCGGAACGUGCCCAGUCGUGGGGGAUAACGUAGUGAAAAUUACGCUAAUACCGCAUACGAUCUAUGGAUGAAAGCGGGGGAUCGCAAGACCUCGCGCGAUUGGAGCGGCUGAUAUCAGAUUAGGUAGUUGGUGGGGUAAAGGCCCACCAAGCCAACGAUCUGUAGCUGGUCUGAGAGGACGACCAGCCACACUGGAACUGAGACACGGUCCAGACUCCUACGGGAGGCAGCAGUGGGGAAUUUUGGACAAUGGGCGAAAGCCUGAUCCAGCCAUUCCGCGUGCAGGAUGAAGGCCCUCGGGUUGUAAACUGCUUUUGUACAGAACGAAAAGGUUUCUACUAAUACUAGGAGCUCAUGACGGUACUGUAGGAAUAAGCACCGGCUAACUACGUGCCAGCAGCCGCGGUAA
rnacentral:rRNA from 1 species